rnacentral:rRNA from 1 species
GAUGAACGCUGGCGGCGUGCCUAAUACAUGCAAGUCGAGCGAACAGACGAGGAGCUUGCUCCUUCGACGUUAGCGGCGGACGGGUGAGUAACACGUAGGUAACCUACCUAUAAGACUGGGAUAACUUCGGGAAACCGGAGCUAAUACCGGAUAAUAUUUCGAACCGCAUGGUUCGAUAGUGAAAGAUGGCUUUGCUAUCACUUAUAGAUGGACCUGCGCCGUAUUAGCUAGUUGGUAAGGUAACGGCUUACCAAGGCAACGACACGUAGCCGACCUGAGAGGGUGAUCGGCCACACUGGAACUGAGACACGGUCCAGACUCCUACGGGAGGCAGCAGUAGGGAAUCUUCCGCAAUGGGCGAAAGCCUGACGGAGCAACGCCGCGUGAGUGAUGAAGGUCUUCGGAUCGUAAAACUCUGUUAUUAGGGAAGAACAAACGUGUAAGUAACUGUGCACGUCUUGACGGUACCUAAUCAGAAAGCCACGGCUAACUACGUG